GUUGCCGCUGGAACUGGGGUCAUUUCAGGACCUCCCAAGGAGGGUCAGGAUGGUGGUAUUGGCCUUAGGGGACGCGGGCUCAGGUUGGCGGUUGAACCGCAUGUUCCUGUUUCAAACAAACCUAAAUGUAGGCCUGGAAGGCUGUGCACUGAAAUCCUAGUAUUAGGUUGGUGCAAAAUUAAUUGCGAUUUUUGCCAUUGUAGGUUGUCUGCAGAGUGAGAUUAUGGCGAAGCAUUUUAUUCUUUUUACAAACCUGCUUUUUCUUAAUUUUCCACAUUGAUUUGCCAGCUACCUGCCUUUGCAGGACACCUCAGAAGUUACAGACUUGCCUGUGGAAAUGCAGAGAGCACCUGAGGUAUUUCCCAGACUCUCCAGUAGUAGCCUUGAAUGGCUGACCGACCGCAGUCACCUGCCAGAUCUUCUCAGAACCGGCCAGCCCACCAGCAACAUGCCCAUUAAGUGACCUGGCCCAGCCCAGAUGGAAAACCCCCUCCACGUGACUUUCUAAAGAACAUGCAUGAAGACAAAACACCAGGUGCCUCAGGUGUGACACCCUGAGGACACAUCACCUGUACAGUAUCCUAACCCACCCAAGAUGACACAGUAACUAACUGCAGUGAGGUGUACAGGGCCAUGGGGCUCUGGGAUGAAGUCUUCCACCUCUACACCUUGUAAACAAGGAUUCCAGACACACCCUCCAAAUGGGAAUGGAGACACACGUUUGGCAGAGUUGGACAGUGACGCUGCUCUCCUAUCAGCCUGGACUUUGAGGGGAGUGGAAAACAUGAGUGUGGAGGUGCAGCAGUCCUGGUAUCCCCUGAAACCAGCCUGUGGGGGAACAGUCUUCCCAGGGGAGCUGCUCAGGAUGGUCCUGGUCCAUGCAUCAGGAAGAAAAGGGAACCUGAGAGCAGAGGGAAAAUGCAGAAAGUGGGGCAGGGAGACUGCUCCCUGAAACCCCCAUGGGCUGCUGGUCCAAGCAGAAAGUGUUGUCGGAGAGGGGAGAGGCAGGGUGAAAUGGGACAGGAAACGAGGACUUCCGAUGAGGAGGAGGAGGGGGCAGUGGGCUGCGGGUCUUGGGGACUGAACAGAAUGAGGUUUGCUAGACAGAGCUUUCGUCUACCCACUCCUGAAGUCCUGCUGGACCUCAGCUGGCCCUUGUGAACUGUUGAGGGGGAUAUAAACACAAAGGCCUGCAUUCCUGUGGGUGCACAAUCCUAAGAGACCAUGGACUGCCUGUGUGUGUGGGUGGUGUAAUGAACAGCAUCCUAGAAGUCCGGUACAGAUUUCACGUGUCACCUUCUAGUUCCUUAUCUGCAAAUUGAAAGGUGAGGUCAGGUGCAGUGGCUCAUGCCUAUAAUCCC
rnacentral:lncRNA from 1 species